rnacentral:misc_RNA from 1 species
GGUGGCUGUGGAUGUGGACUCUGGACAGAAUGCCUGGCUCUCCUAUAAACUGCAGAAAGCCACAGACAGGGCGCUGUUUGAAGUGGGCUCACAGAAUGGAGAAAUAAGAACUAUCCGCCAAGUCACUGAUAAAGACGCAGUGAAACAAAGACUGACUGUUAUAGUGGAGGACAACGGGCAGCCCUCUCGUUCAGCUACAGUCGUUGUUAACGUGGCGGUGGCGGACAGCUUCCCUGAAGUGCUGUCGGAGUUCACUGACUUUACGCACGACAAGGAGUACAACGACAACCUGACUUUUUACUUAGUGUUGGCUCUG